GAUGAUUACAUAAUCAAGUUCAGGUGUGCGUGAGUGGCAGGUGAGCUUGCAGGGAGAAAAACCUGGAGUGGAGUUUAGGGUCUGGAGGUGCUGGGUUUAUUUGGCUGGUGUGUGACAGAUAGAGCUUCAGUAGAUCAUAUCUGUAAAGUCAUGUGACUCAUCACAGCAUCAGAAUAGACAAGAAUUUACACAAGUUCGUUACCUCACUAUCACUUUGUCUAAACAGGAACGAUGAUCACACUCUUUGUGUCUCUUUACUCUCUGCUUUGUCUCUGCACAACUGGAAACACUUCAGACAUCAAGGAGCUUCAAGUGAAAAUGGUAAAGGGUGGAAAAGCUGUAACUAUGGAGUGUAACAUUAGUGGGGUCAAAGACAAAAAGAUUUUAGCUUGGUACAGACAGAGUUUUGGAGAAGUGCCUCAGUUUUUGGCGAGACCCUACGCUGGCACUUCUGGCUACAUAUUUCCUGAGGGAUUUAAUGAUAGCCGCUUCAGUGUCACUGUAAAUGACCAAAAGUUUGAUCUCAACAUUAAUGAAAUAAGAGAAGAUGAUGGAGGAAAAUAUUUCUGUGGAUAUGUGGAGGGAAGUUCGCUAAAUACAGUAAAGUUCACAUCUGGAACACGUCUGCAGUUUGAAGGUGAAGAGAUGAAACCCUGUCCUACACCUGGAACACUUAACAAGAACAACAGCAGUUUCAUCUGUACUGAUCAGAUGCGUGUGCUGUUCUGGCUCUCUGUUACUAGAGUUGGAGUUCUUGUCUUCAUUAUUUUUCCGGUGAUCCUGAUUGUUUUCAAAUAUAAAUAAAAUAAAUACUGACUGAAAGAUAAAAUAAAAUGUGUUUUAUUGGAAAGUUUUUAUUUUUUAUUACAGACACUGGUUUGCUUGAAUAUGUAAAGAACACCCUUACAGUACAUGCAACAAAGUGCAAACAACAUUUUUUAAAA